AUUGAACGCUGGCGGCAGGCUUAACACAUGCAAGUCGAGCGGGGGAAGGUAGCUUGCUACCGGACCUAGCGGCGGACGGGUGAGUAAUGCUUAGGAAUCUGCCUAUUAGUGGGGGACAACAUCUCGAAAGGGAUGCUAAUACCGCAUACGUCCCACGGGAGAAAGCAGGGGAUCUUCGGACCUUGCGCUAAUAGAUGAGCCUAAGUCGGAUUAGCUAGUUGGGGGGGUAAAGGCCUACCAAGGCGACGAUCUGUAGCGGGUCUGAGAGGAUGAUCCGCCACACUGGGACUGAGACACGGCGCAGACUCCUACGGAAGGCAGCAGGGGGGAAUAUUGGACAAUGGGGGGAACCCUGAUCCAGCCAUGCCGCGUGUGUGAAGAAGGCCUUAUGGUUGUAAAGCACUUUAAGCGAGGAGGAGGCUACUUUAGUCAAUACCUGGAGAUAGUGGACGUUACUCGCAGAAUAAGCACCGGCUAACUCUGUGCCAGCAGCCGCCGUAA
rnacentral:rRNA from 1 species